GACGAACGCUGGCGGCGUGCUUAACACAUGCAAGUCGAACGAAAAGAGGGAAAGAGCUUGCUCUUUCCGGAAUUGAGUGGCAAACGGGUGAGUAACACGUAAACAACCUGCCUUCAGGAUGGGGACAACAGACGGAAACGACUGCUAAUACCGAAUAAGUUCCAAGAGCCGCAUGGCCCAUGGAAGAAAAGGUGGCCUCUACCUGUAAGCUAUCGCCUGAAGAGGGGUUUGCGUCUGAUUAGCUGGUUGGAGGGGUAACGGCCCACCAAGGCGACGAUCAGUAGCCGGUCUGAGAGGAUGGACGGCCACACUGGGACUGAGACACGGUCCAGACUCCUACGGGAGGCAGCAGUGGGGAAUCUUCCGCAAUGGGCGAAAGCCUGACGGAGCAACGCCGCGUGAGUGAUGACGGCCUUCGGGUUGUAAAACUCUGUGAUCCGGGACGAAAAGGCAGAGUGCGAAGAACAAACUGCAUUGACGGUACCGGAAAAGCAAGCCACGGCUAACUACGUG
rnacentral:rRNA from 1 species